rnacentral:rRNA from 1 species
UACGAAGGGGGCUAGCGUUGCUCGGAAUUACUGGGCGUAAAGGGCGCGUAGGCGGACAUUUAAGUCAGGGUGAAAUCCCAGAGCUCAACUCUGGAACUGCCUUUGAUACUGGGUGUCUUGAGUGUGAGAGAGGUAUGUGGAACUCCGAGUGUAGAGGUGAAAUUCGUAGAUAUUCGGAAGAACACCAGUGGCGAAGGCGACAUACUGGCUCAUUACUGACGCUGA